rnacentral:tRNA from 1 species
GCCGGCGGUGGAACGUGCGGCGCAGGGUCUCGGCGGUGGCGAAGCCGCAGCGCCGGGCGAUGGCCUCCACCGGUUCGUCCCCGUCCGUCAGCGCC